rnacentral:lncRNA from 1 species
CAGCUCUCCCCCAGUCCUUUCACUGACUCCUCUCUGUGGCAGAGCUGAGAUUUGUUUAGGGAAGUGGGACUACAACUCCCAGAGUGCACCUGUGCGGUUGUCAGGAGCAACCAAGGAAGCCAACUAACAGGCUUGCUAGAGUCUGAGGACUAUCCAGGGCCUGACUGCCAGCUAGCCAGCCAUGGGCCAGGAUUAUUACUCUGUGCUCGGGAUCACUCGCAAUUCAGAGGAUGCCCAGAUCAAGCAGGCGUCCCCAGGGCACAGCCAGGACCCUUAUGGAUGG